GUGGGCGUAGCUCAGUUGGUUAGAGCCCCGGAUUGUGGAUCCGGUGGUCGUGGGUUCGAAUCCCAUCGCUCACCCCA
rnacentral:tRNA from 1 species